ensembl:lncRNA
AGCGCAGAGGUCACUGGACCCAGGUAAAAGGGUGACAUUAAUAAGAGAGAGGCAGAGGCGGUAAGAGAGAGAGAGGGAGGUGGUGAUAGAGAGAGAGAGAGGGAGGUGGUGAUAGAGAGAGAGAGGGAGGCGGUGAUAGAGAGAGAGAGGGGAGGCGGUGAUAGAGAGAGAGAGAGGGAGGCGGUGAUAGAGAGAGAGAGAGAGGGGAGGAGGUGGUGAUAGAGAGAGAGAGAGGGAGGCGGUGAGAGAGAGAGAGGCAGUGAUAGAGAGAGAGAGGCGGUGAUAGAGAGAGAGAGAGAGAGAGAGAGCGGUGAUAGAGAGAGAGAGGCGGUGAUAGAGAGAGAGAGAGGAGGUGAUAGAGAGAGAGGCGGUGAUAGAGAGAGAGAGAGAGAGGCGGUGAUAGAGAGAGAGAGGCAGUGAUAGAGAGAGAG